UUGUUACUCAAUUCAAAAAUAUGUAAAGCUUCUUGUUUCGGGCAUAGCAAAAACUGUAUCCAAAAUUUCAAAACAAUAACCAAAUUAGUGUCUUUUUAGUUUUAAAAUUUUAUCUCCAAAUCUAUUGAUCAUUUAAUCUAUUAAAAUUUUAAAAAACCAAUUAUGUUAAAUGUAUAUUUUUAAAUACAAAAAAUUUGAACAAUGAAAAUUUUGAUUUUUUUCUUUCAAAAUCUAAAUAUCUGAACCCGAUCCGAAAUAACCGAAGCCGAACUAAAAAUACCCAAACUCGAUCCGAAAUAACCGAAGCCAAACUAAAAACACUCGAACCCGAUCCGAAGUAUAGAAAUAUCCGAACGGGUUCUAUACCCCUAUACCGAAAUAUCCAAAAAUCUGAAAUAC
rnacentral:lncRNA from 1 species